rnacentral:rRNA from 1 species
UGGGGAAUUUUGGACAAUGGGGGCAACCCUGAUCCAGCAAUGCCGCGUGUGUGAAGAAGGCCUUCGGGUUGUAAAGCACUUUUGUCCGGGAAGAAAUCGCACCUGAUAAUACCGGGUGUGGAUGACGGUACCGGAAGAAUAAGGACCGGCUAACUACGUGCCAGCAGCCGCGGUAAUACGUAGGGUCCAAGCGUUAAUCGGAAUUACUGGGCGUAAAGCGGGCGCAGGCGGUUGUGCAAGACCGAUGUGAAAUCCCCGGGCUUAACCUGGGAAUUGCAUUGGUGGCUGCACGGCUGGAGUGUGUCAGAGGGGGGUAGAAUUCCACGUGUAGCAGUGAAAUGCGUAGAGAUGUGGAGGAAUACCGAUGGCGAAGGCAGCCCCCUGGGAUAACACUGACGCUCAUGCACGGAAGCGUGGGGAGCAAACAGG